CCUACGGGAGGCAGCAGUGAGGAAUAUUGGUCAAUGGGCGCGAGCCUGAACCAGCCAAGUAGCGUGAAGGAUGACUGCCCUACGGGUUGUAAACUUCUUUUAUAAAGGAAUAAAGUGAGGCACGCGUGCCUUUUUGUAUGUACUUUAUGAAUAAGGAUCGGCUAACUCCGUGCCAGCAGCCGCGGUAAUACGGAGGAUCCGAGCGUUAUCCGGAUUUAUUGGGUUUAAAGGGAGCGUAGAUGGGUUGUUAAGUCAGUUGUGAAAGUUUGCGGCUCAACCGUAAAAUUGCAAUUGAUACUGGCAGCCUUGAGUGCAGUUGAGGUAGGCGGAAUGCGUGGUGUAGCGGUGAAAUGCAUAGAUAUCACGAAGAACUCCGAUUGCGAAGGCAGCUUACUAAACUGCCACUGACAUUGAUGCUCGAAAGUGUGGGUAUCGAACAGGAUUAGAUACCCUUGUAGUC
rnacentral:rRNA from 1 species